GACGAGGCGGUGUGGGCGCGGGGCGUCACACCCCGUAACUGGCAGCCGCCGCUCGGUGCUUCUCUCCUGAGUCUCUCUUGCCCGGCGGGCUCCCAGCCCCCGCCGCCCGGGCCCCGCGGACCUGCAAACCCCAGGCCCGGCGGAUUUGCCCUUGGCGCUUUCUCGGGCUCGGCAGAGGGGUUCCCGGCUGGGAUCUCUGGGGUCGCGCUGGCGAUGAGCAGCGAAGAAAGGCGAGGCGCUGCUCUCCGAGCGCGAGGAGGCGGGGUGCGCUCGCCGGGGUCGCCGGGGCGCCGCUGGGGAACCCGGGCCAGCGAACCCAAGCGCGAUUUCCGCGGGUCCCGGGCGCAGAGGCCGGGGCUGCCGGCGCUUUGGCCUUGGAUGGAAAGUUGGGAAUGGGGUAGGGGCCUCCGGACCCCCUAACGUGGAUUACUUGGUGCGUCUCGGCCGGGCUCGGAUGACCCAUAACCUCGUCUCCAUCCGUGGAUUGAUGCACAUUCUACCUAACAGUCGAGUCCCUUACCUGUAGGGCCCCUUACCUCGAGAGCUGAGCCGCCUCGGUGAGCUCCCGUCGUCUGCCCAUUGGCGACCCAGAAUGCGACCGGGGCGCAGCGCUUGGAGCCCCCCUCGCCGGGGGGGUGGUGAAUGUCUCUGGUCCCCGGUCCUGGUUGCUGGUGAAAUCAGAGGUUCGUGACUGACCUGAGUAGGUGCUUUGAACCGAGAAAGAAGGACAAGAUAAAAGGCCUGGAAGGCAGGACAGGUAAAGAGCUGUUGCUCUUCACCCACACUUCCCACCAGGAACCUUAGUGGAGCCAAAGUUUGCCGCUAGGACCACCGCAGGACCUGGCUAAGGUAGGACCAUCUCCUAAGAGGCAAGAGCUCUGGAUUUGAUUGAGAAUUCUUAUUUUGGAGAAUAAAGAAACUUCUGGAUUGGAGAAGACAUUUGAGGAGAAAGCAAAGACCCUUGCCCUAAGGAAUAGCGUCUGUGUUGACCUGCGUGACCUGGAGGCCACCUACAAUUAAAGAGAGUGUCUGUGUUGACCUGCGUGACCUGGAGGCCACCUACAAUUAAAGAAGAUGCCAAGGGGCUUCCCUGGUGGCGCAGUGGUUGAGAGUCCGCCUGCCGAUGCAGGGGACGCGGGUUCGUGCCCCGGUCCGGGAGGAUCCCGCGUGCCACGGAGCGGCUGGGCCUGUGAGCCGUGGCCGCUGAGCCUGUGCGUCCGGGGCCUGUGCUCCGCGGCAGGAGAGGCUGCAACGGUGAGAGGCCCGCGUACCGCAAAAAAUAAAAAAAAUUUUAAAAAAAAGAAGAUGCCAGGAUCCUGGGCCUUCUUCUUCCUUCUGGUGGGAAACGUUUCUUCUGCUGGUGCCUGGUCCUAAGACUCCCCUGUACCAGUCCUCGGGAAGCAGAGGGCUUUCUGCCUCAUCCUUUCUUGCCCCCUGCACCCACCACAUCUGCUGUGCCUUUGGACUCAGCAGUUCUUCUCGUUCGCUCCAUCAUCUCCCGCCCAGAUACAGAGUGAAUAGUUACCUACGCGGAGGUCAGUGGGAUCUUACUUUUCGUUCCUGCUUCUUCUAAAGAGGCCGGUGUUUGCACGUUGCUGUACAAGCAGCCUUGGAAUAGUAUCCCUUCUCAUCCACGUGGGAUCUGGCCCCCACAGGCUCCAGAGUGUUGCGCGUCUGUGCAGAAAUCCUUCAGGCUCUAACGCGCUACGAUGUGGGAGGGGGCUUCGGCAGGGAGCUGGAUCCCGGAGGCCAGCGUCCCCCACGUGCAACUUUCUUGGUUUGGAUCGCGUGCAGGUGUGCGUCUGGAGGAGCAGAAAACGAAUACGCCUUCUGUUUACAUAGAUGCACGGUCCACUGUGAAGACGCUCUUCCUUCCCGCUGGGCAGUUGGGGUCCGUGUCAGAGCAUGAUGCUUCAUUACAGAGUAUCCAGCGACCAGAGUUGAUGGUGUUGCUUGAGGACCGUCUCCCUGCCGUGUGUGCUGGUGACACCUACACCCGACCGGAGAUGGGGCCCCACGACACACAAGUCCUGUUUGUUCCUUUCACUCUGUAGGCACCGUAUACGUGGCUGAAAACGUUUCCUGGAGAUGGAUCGUGGUUCAACCUUGUCCAAAAUGCAGAGCCCAAGAUGUGUGUCCUUUCUCUUUCCGAAGCAAAUGGAUGACUUGCCUUUGUGAAAAGAAUUCAAGCCAGCCGUAUACAUGUUCCCUGGGUUGUAGAUGCUGUGCAUGUAUGACCAUUUAGUGAUGUCAGUGUCUUGUCCAGGAAGCAGUGGGGUCCAUCUUGGCGUCUCAGAUUCACCACCAGACAAAUGAGAGGAACCUCUGAGGGAUGUUUCGUGCUAUUGAAAUGGGAAGCUUGUCUGUGGGCUUUCACCUUCCUUCCUUGACCUGCAUACACGCCCGUCACGUCAGCUUCCUUCGGGUUUUAAGGAAAAGAGACCCAUUUAUAUCACCUCUGUAAA